rnacentral:lncRNA from 1 species
AGAGGCCUAGCGCCCAGUGCGCACGCGCACUUGUGUAAAAAGCGAGGACGUGACCGUUUUGGAAGCAUUGUUCUUUUCACUGUUAGUGAGGAGCGGUCAAGGAUGCGUAUUAAGAAAAUAACUAGAAGUGGCCGCAUGAUGUACCUCUCACCAAUGAGAUGCCUGUCAAGGGUAUACGUGGGUCUUUUGAUUACUCUUAGAAGAAAGGAAGCAUUGAGAGUAAGGAACAAAUGCCAAUGAUGACAACCCAAACACUAUGUAUUGUAAAUGAAGUGGACUUCGUGGUUUCUUUAUCCACCAAUAAAUUAAAAGAAAACUUACAGGAAAUGGACACAGCCCUGGAUAAAUGCAACUACUAAGAUUCAACCAAGAAGUAAAAAUCCUGAACACACCAAUACAACUAAUGGAUUUAAUCAGUAAUAAAAAGUCUCUCACCAAGAAACA